CUUGGAGUGUGCCGCCAUCCUCCCCAAACACAUCUCGACUCUGAAAGUGACCCUAUGAAGGCUAUGACUGCUAAGCAGCAGGCAGAACAGUCUGAGGGUGGCUGCCCAGUCGUUGGCUGGAGCAGGGGUACAAAGCAGCACAGCACAGUGUUGGCUAAGGUUCCGCAGUAAGACUACCUGAGUUCCAGUCCCAUUAGGCUUGCUACCAUUUAGCUAUGA
rnacentral:lncRNA from 1 species